rnacentral:rRNA from 1 species
UACGUAGGGCGCGAGCGUUGUCCGGAAUUAUUGGGCGUAAAGAGCUCGUAGGCGGCCUGUCGCGUCUGCUGUGAAAUCCCGGGGCUUAACCCCGGGCGUGCAGUGGAUACGGGCUGGCUGGAGGCAGGCAGGGGAGAACGGAAUUCCCGGUGUAGCGGUGAAAUGCGCAGAUAUCAGGAGGAACACCGACGGCGAAGGCAGCACUCUGGGCCGGUACUGACGCUGAGGAGCGAAAGCAUGGGGAGCGAACAGG